GCCAAGUGCUCUCUUCGGCUACGAUUUUGUACGGUACGGAGCUUCCUUCCUACUUUUGUAAUGAGUUGAUGCAUUCAGUGAAAGCUAAAGAUGGAAUUAGAGAAUGCUUACCACAGGUGUCGUAUGGGAACCAAGUUCCAAAUGAACGAGUUCCGCAGCUACCAAGAGCCCGUACUGCUAGCCCCGUCAACGACGGCUUCGAAUGUUGGCCGUUGUCAGUUGCUCGAGGGUCGCCGACUCUUUAGAAGAUUUUUUCUUCGCUUCAGAAAAGUGCAGGAGAGAUAUUUAAAAAGUACCGAGAGCAUCCCAGUUAUGACAACAAGUAGCUGACAACAGUACGACGGUUUACAAGCGUAGCAGCCAUUUUGAAGAAGACAGCCGUGGCAAGUAAAGCACAUUGGACGGCAGUCUUUGCCCGUCGCGGCGUUACCGCAGUACUGGGGUCACCGGCAACUUUUGCCAAGCAGUCGAAGGCCGAUGUUGCAAGAAGAUACCGAAAACUGUACUUUCCUUGCUGAGCCAGUGAAUUUUUGAUAAAACAAAGAGUAUAUGUGUGUGAAUAAAAUAUGAUGUAC